rnacentral:tRNA from 2 species
GUAGUCAUGGCCGAGUGGUUAAGGUGAUGGGCUAGAAAGCCAUUGGGGAUACCCCGCGCAGGUUCGAAUCCUGCCGACUACG